rnacentral:rRNA from 1 species
GACGAACGCUGGCGUCGUGCUUAACACAUGCAAGUCGAACGGAGUGGCGAACGGGGGAGUAACACGUGGGUGACCUGCCCUGCACUUCGGGAUAAGCCUGGGAAACUGGGUCUAAUACCGGAUAGUGGGGGAUGGGCCCGCGGCCGUUCAGCUUUUUGGUGGGGUAAUGGCCUACCAAGGCGGCGACGGGUAGCCGGCCUGAGCGGGUGGACGGCCACCUUGUGACUGCGACCCGGCCCCGACUCCUACGUGAGGCAGCAGUGGGGAGUAUUGCACACUGGGCGGAAGCCUGAUGCAGCGACGCCGCGUGGGGGAUGACGGCCUUCGUGUUGUAAACUCCUUUCACCAUCGACGCGGUAGAUGGAUAAGAAGCACCGGCUAACUUCGUGCCAGCAGCCGCGGUAAUAC